GGACACGUGGAAGGAUUUGUGACGAUUGCAACCACGCAAAAAAAAUGCUAAAUCUUUGUCA
rfam:Porphyromonas crevioricanis strain COT-253_OH2125 contig_6, whole genome shotgun sequence.